UACGGGGGGGGCAAGCGUUGUUCGGCAUUACUGGGCGUAAAGGGUUCGUAGGUGGCCAACUUAGUCAGACGUGAAAUCCCUCAGCUUAACUGGGGAACUGCGUCCGAUACUGGAUGGCUUGGAUUUGGGAGAGGGAUGCGGAAUUCCAGGUGUAGCGGUGAAAUGCGUAGAUAUCUGGAGGAACACCGGUGGCGAAGGCGGCAUCCUGGACCAAUAUUGACGCUGAGGAGCGAAAGCUAGGGGAGCAAACGGG
rnacentral:rRNA from 1 species